UACGUAGGGGGCAAGCGUUGUCCGGAUUCAUUGGGCGUAAAGGGCGCGUAGGCUGCGGGGUAAGUCGGGUGUGAAAUCUCAGAGCUCAACUCUGAAACUGCACUCGAUACUGCUUUGCUUGAGGACUGGAGAGGAGAUUGGAAUUCACGGUGUAGCAGUGAAAUGCGUAGAUAUCGUGAGGAAGACCAGUGGCGAAGGCGGAUCUCUGGACAGUUCCUGACGCUGAGGCGCGAAGGCCAGGGGAGCAAACGGG
rnacentral:rRNA from 1 species